rnacentral:rRNA from 1 species
UGGGGAAUAUUGGACAAUGGGCGCAAGCCUGAUCCAGCCAUGCCGCGUGAGUGACGAAGGUCUUCGGAUUGUAAAGCUCUUUUGGCGGGGACGAUAAUGACGGUACCCGCAGAAUAAGCCCCGGCUAACUUCGUGCCAGCAGCCGCGGUAAUACGAAGGGGGCUAGCGUUGUUCGGAAUUACUGGGCGUAAAGCGCACGUAGGCGGAUUUGUAAGUCAGGGGUGAAAUCCCGGGGCUCAACCUCGGAACUGCCUCUGAUACUGCGGAUCUCGAGUCCGGAAGAGGUGAGUGGAAUUCCUAGUGUAGAGGUGAAAUUCGUAGAUAUUAGGAAGAACACCAGUGGCGAAGGCGGCUCACUGGUCCGGUACUGACGCUGAGGUGCGAAAGCGUGGGGAGCAAACAGGAUUAGAUACCCCUGUACUGAGCGGGCUGGCAAGGCGCAU